AUGUUUAGGAAGAUGUUCCAAGGUGGUUCCUCUAAGAAGCAAGGACCCAGGAUUGCUAUGCGCGAUGCUGACGAGGAUCCACCAAGAGACGCUCCAGUACGGCCUUGCGAAUGGCCGUCGGAAAAUUUUAUGGACCGUGCGGGAAUUAAAGAAGAAUUCAAAGCAUAUUUGCGCAAUGCCGGUCUUGAGGAUUUUGAGGCUAACAAAUUCCCCCAGUAUCAUGAUCUCACAAGUUCAUUUGUGAGGAGGUUUGAGUAUUCAUCUUCGUGUAAUUCUCCUUCAGUCAUGUUUGAUCUUUAUGACAAAUCUUAUACCAUGGACCUAGAGGAUUUCACUUCUGCUUGUGAACUUCCAACAUGGGGCAGUAUUAGGGAUCCCCCUAAAUCUGAAUUUAGAAACUUUGUUGCUAGUAUAACUGUGGGGGAAUCUAGAGACAUAACGCAGGCUACCAUAGGGAGCAUUCACUUUCCUGCUAUACAUUAUUUUGCUCUCUUCAUCGGUAGAUGCAUAAAUGCUAAGGAUGAAGCAUGUCACAUGUGUGUCCCUGAUCUUAGCAUUCUUAGGAGUGCUGUGUUAGGAGACCAAUCUUAUCAUAUGGGAGCCAUUGUAGCUCGUAGGUUGCAUCAUAAUAGACAUAAUGGAGAUUUCUUUGGAGGAAUUUAUGCAACCCGCUUAGCUCAUUUUCUUGAAAUAGACAUUCGUGAGGGUGAUAUGGAGUUGCCUCCUACAUAUUUAGAUUAUAACUCUAUGGCUUCGCACCAGUUUGUCGAGAUGCCUGAAUCACCUCUCUUAUAUCGCUUAAUUUUUGAUAAACGACGUGUUUUCCGUAUUACUCUCCCUGCUCCUACCUUCUUUGAUUCACAGACAAAAGGAAGAUAUGUUAUUACUAGAGAGGAGUCAGAAGAGUACGAGAGGAGAGCGGAGGCAGCCAGACUCCACGCUGCAGCUCAGCAGGCGAUAACCGCUGCAUAUCAGUAUGAUCCCAACUAUCCUUCCUCAUCACAUGACGACACCAACAAUUAUUAUUAUGGAUAUCCGCCAGGCCAGCCGUGGCCAUAG
rnacentral:rRNA from 1 species